CUGACAUUGGUUGCUGCUGCUGGGAUUUCUGAGAAGCCUCAAACUUUGGGGGUCUCCCAUCCUAAGGUUAACCAACGCCAACCCUGCUUAACUUCCACAGAGAAACCAGCCACUUAGGUUUCAAUUUGCUUUUAUUUCAUGGCCUGUUUCAGA
rnacentral:snRNA from 1 species